rnacentral:tRNA from 1 species
CGGGGCAUAGCUCAGCCUGGCAGAGUGCUCGGUUUGGGACCGAGAGGCCGUCAGUUCGAAUCUGACUGCCCCGA